rnacentral:rRNA from 1 species
GUAGGUGGCAAGCGUUGUCCGGAAUUAUUGGGCGUAAAGCGCGCGCAGGCGGUCCUUUAGGUCUGAUGUGAAAGCCCACGGCUCAACCGUGGAGGGUCAUUGGAAACUGGGGGACUUGAGUACAGAAGAGAAAAGCGGAAUUCCAAGUGUAGCGGUGAAAUGCGUAGAGAUUUGGAGGAACACCAGUGGCGAAGGCGGCUUUCUGGUCUGUAACUGACGCUGAGGCGCGAAAGCGUGGGGAGCAAACAGGGAUUAGAUACCCUGGUAGUCCACGCCGUAAACGAUGAGUGCUAAGUGUUAGGGGGUUUCCCGCCCCUUAGUGCUGCAGCUAACGCAUUAAGCACUCCGCCUGGGGAGUACGGCCGCAAGGCUG